rnacentral:rRNA from 1 species
CCUACGGGUGGCUGCAGUGGGGAAUAUUGGGCAAUGGGGGGAACCCUGAUCCAGCGACGCCGCGUGAGUGAAGAAGUAUCUCGGUAUGUAAAGCUCUAUCAGCAGGGAAGAAGAAAUGACGGUACCUGAGUAAGAAGCCCCGGCUAACUACGUGCCAGCAGCCGCGGUCAUACGGAGGGGGCAAGCGUUAUCCGGAUUUACUGGGUGUAAAGGGGGCGCAGACGGCAAUGCAAGCCAGGAGUGAAAGCCCGGGGCCCAACCCCGGGACUGCUCUUGGAACUGGCUGGCUGGAGUACAGGAGGGGCAGGCGGAAUUCCUAGUGUAGCGGUGAAAUGCGUAGAUAUUAGGAGGAACCCCGGUGGCGAAGGCGGCCUGCUGGACUGUGACUGACGUUGAGGCUCGAAGGCGUGGGGAGCAAACAGGAUUAGAUACCCAAGUAGUC